GUUGAAACACAAGUUCUCGUACGAUCGGCGAAGUUAAGCAACGUCGAUCCUGGUCGGUAUUUACAUGGGUGAACGCUUGGGAAUACUGGGUGUUGUAA